rnacentral:rRNA from 1 species
AAUCUACCUAGUAGAAGGGGAUAGCCCGGGGAAACCCGGAUUAAUACCGUAUACCUCCUUUGGGAGAAAGAAGGCCUCUCUUUGAAGCUUUCGCUAUUAGAUGAGCCUGCGUAAGAUUAGCUUGUUGGUGAGGUAAAGGCUCACCAAGGCGACGAUCUUUAGCUGGUCUGAGAGGACGAUCAGCCACAUUGGGACUGAGACACGGCCCAGACUCCUACGGGAGGCAGCAGUGGGGAAUAUUGGACAAUGGGCGCAAGCCUGAUCCAGCCAUACCGCGUGUGUGAAGAAGGCCUUCGGGUUGUAAAGCACUUUAAGCAGGGAGAAAAAGUUAUAAGUUAAUACCUUAUAACCGUGAUGUUACCUGCAGAAUAAGCACCGGCUAAUUCCGUGCCAGCAGCCGCGGUAAUACGGAAGGUGCAAGCGU